rnacentral:rRNA from 1 species
AUUAGGUAGACGGUGGGGUAACGGCCCACNGUGCCCAUAAUCAGUACAGGUUGUGAGAGCAAGAACCUGGAGACGGGAAUCUGAGACAAGAUUCCGGGCCUUACGGGGCGCAGCAGGCGCGAAACCUUUACACUGCACGCACGUGCGAUAAGGGGACUCCGAGUGCGAGGGCAUAUCGUCCUCGCUUUCGUGUACCGUAGGGUGGUACACCAACAAGGGCUGGGCAAGACCGGUGCCAGCCGCCGCGGUAAUACCGGCAGCCCGAGUGAUGGCCGAUCUUAUUGGGCCUAAAGCGUCCGUAGCUGGCUGCGCAAGUCCGUCGGGAAAUCCACUCGCUCAACGAGUGGGCGUCCGACGGAAACUGCACAGCUUGGGACCGGAA